rnacentral:rRNA from 1 species
GUGAGGAAUAUUGCGCAAUGGAGGCAACUCUGACGCAGCCAUGCCGCGUGCAGGAAGAAGGCGCUACGCGUUGUAAACUGCUUUUAACCGGGAAGAAACCCCAGGACGUGUCCUGGGUUGACGGUACCGGAGGAAUAAGCACCGGCUAACUUCGUGCCAGCAGCCGCGGUAAUACGAAGGGUGCAAGCGUUAUCCGGAUUCAUUGGGUUUAAAGGGUGCGUAGGCGGAGCGUUAAGUCAGUGGUGAAAUCCUGCAGCUUAACUGUAGACUUGCCAUUGAUACUGGAGCUCUUGAGUGCGCUUGAAGUGGGCGGAAUGUGCCGUGUAGCGGUGAAAUGCUUAGAUAUGGCACAGAACACCAAUUGCGAAGGCAGCUCACUAAGGCGAUACUGACGCUGAGGCACGAAAGCGUGGGGAUCGAACAGGAUUAGAUACCCGAGUAGUCC